rnacentral:rRNA from 1 species
GAUGAACGCUGGCGGCGUGCCUAGUACAUGCAAGUCGAGCGAACGGACGAGAAGCUUGCUUCUCUGAUGUUAGCGGCGGACGGGUGAGUAACACGUGGAUAACCUACCUAUAAGACUGGGAUAACUUCGGGAAACCGUAGCUAAUACCGGAUAAUAUUUUGAACCGCAUGGUUCAAAAGUGAAAGACGGUCUUGCUGUCACUUAUAGAUGGAUCCGCGCUGCAUUAGCUAGUUGGUAAGGUAACGGCUUACCAAGGCAACGAUGCAUAGCCGACCUGAGAGGGUGAUCGGCCACACUGGAACUGAGACACGGUCCAGACUCCUACGGGAGGCAGCAGUAGGGAAUCUUCCGCAAUGGGCGAAAGCCUGACGGAGCAACGCCGCGUGAGUGAUGAAGGUCUUCGGAUCGUAAAACUCUGUUAUUAGGGAAGAACAUAUGUGUAAGUAACUGUGCACAUCUUGACGGUACCUAAUCAGAAAGCCACGGCUAACUACGCG